UACGUAGGGGGCAAGCGUUGUCCGGAAUCAUUGGGCGUAAAGAGCUCGUAGGCGGUUCGUCGCGUCGGCUGUGGAAACCUGAGGCUCAACCUCAGGCCUGCAGUCGAUACGGGCGGACUUGAGUACUGCAGGGGAGACUGGAAUUCCUGGUGUAGCGGUGAAAUGCGCAGAUAUCAGGAGGAACACCGGUGGCGAAGGCGGGUCUCUGGGCAGUAACUGACGCUGAGGAGCGAAAGCGUGGGGAGCGAACAGG
rnacentral:rRNA from 1 species